CUUUUUUUUUUUUUUUUUUUUUGUUUGCUUGGUCCAAAAGCCUUGUUUCUAUUUUGUAAAUAUAGCCAUCUUUCAAAAAAAGUAAUUUAUUUUCUUCUUUGGUUUCAUCUUUUUGUUGCCCCAACAUCUUUGGACAUUUUCUACACUCCUAGAAAGGAAACAACAAACCAACAUAUCUUUGAAUCUGAUGGUCUGUACCCAAAAACAUAUCUUGCAAUAAAUACAUUUUGUUUGUUUUGGUUGUUUUUCUUCUUUCUUGAUUACUUUUGUACAUCAUUAUAUGGUCACAUGUUGGUCUGAAGCUUGUUCCUAUCAUGAGAAUUUCUAGUUUGUCCAUUACAUAUUGUUUGUGUUUUGGGGGAUUUUUUUUUUGUCACUACAACGAUACUUGUUAACCUAGAAAGCUGAUAGCAUGGUGCUAUUUGGCUCAACUCCUUUACUAUGGAAUCACAAGAAUUGAGUAACCUUUUGUUUUAUAUUAGUAAUUUUUGAAAUCAGCAACAAAAUGAAAUUGUUCCAUUCUGAAACUGUAAAGAUGAUUACAGGAUACAGAGAAUAUUAGUGCCUUAAACCAAGUGUUAGGUUUAGCUAAAGUUUCCUAGUUCUAUUAAAAAUAGUCUGUAGAAAAGAAUCUUAACAAAACUGAAAGAACUUAGGUUCAUAGUGAGAUGACUACAUAGUAUUAAUUAUAUGUCUACAUAUAUUGGCUACUCCCCCCUUUUGUAGUUGAACUGAAUGGUUUUAUUUAUUCUGUGCUAUUAUUAGUUAAUAAGCAUAAUAAAUGCAGUGCAUUAGUUUUGCUCCAGACAUUCUGAUGAAAUAAACCCAGUUUCCCAUAUUGGUGGUACAAGACAUGUAAAAAUCGUGUACAUAGUGUGUGUUUAAGUUUAGUAUUAUUUUUAUUUGUAAUACUAUUUGAAUCUAUUCUUUGCCAGCCGAGGGAGGAGGUGUAUGUUUUGAACGUCACCAUGUAGUAUUUAUUACUGCUAGCUCCAUAAUUCAUUUGUUGUUAAAUGAACUCUCUCCCGCGCGUGGCCCUGACUUCCUGUUCACCAGCACUUGGAGCAACAAACAGCAUUUUGUUCAUUGUGUGAUUAGAGUGAGUGCUAAAAGGAACUUUUGCAGCUAGUUUUGUAUGAGUGUGUACAGGUGUGUGUAUAGUCUUACUGCGAUAACAUUAAGAGUAAUAUGAUUUCAUAAACAUGCUGUAAAUAAUAAAACUUGUCAGAAAUUUG